AAUAUUGGACAAUUGGCGCAAGCCUGAUCCAGCCAUGCCGCGUGAGUGAUGAAGGCCUUAGGAUUGUAAAAUUCUUUCACCGGGGACGAUAAUGACGGUACCCGGAGAAGAAGCCCCGGCUAACUUCGUGCCAGCAGCCGCGGUAAUACGAAGGGGGCUAGCGUUGCUCGGAAUUACUGGGCGUAAAGGGCGCGCAGGCGGACGGGCAAGUCGGAAGUGAAAUCCCGGGGCUCAACUCCGGGACUGCUUCCGAUACUGCUUGUCUAGGGACCGGUAGAGGCUGGUGGAAUUCCCGGUGUAGCGGUGGAAUGCGUAGAAAUCGGGAAGAACACCCGUGGCGAAGGCGGCCAGCUGGGCCGGAUCCGACGCUGAGGCGCGAAAGCGUGGGGAGCAAACAG
rnacentral:rRNA from 1 species